CCCAGACCAAAACUGCCCACGGACAGGGAUGGCUGCGGGGCUCUGGGCCACGCCCAGGGCAAGGGAAGGGGGCCUGGGUGGAGCCGGGUAGAAUGCGGUGACAUCCCUGCCACGUCACAGUGGGCCUCGUCCCCCUGAAGGCAGAGUUGGAACAGGAGGCGCAUUUGCCGCUGUUCCCUCACUGCGAGAUGGAACAGAGAUCCCCGAGCCUACCCCGAGAGGCCUGGCUGGAGAAGCCUAGGGCAUCCCGCACCUCCAUGGCCCAGCACGGGCCUCUUAAGGUGUGUGGGGUGCAGCCCCUGCAGGGGCCUGUGGACUCAGCUGAGGAUCCUUCAGCCUCCGUCGUGUCACCGCAGGAGGGGGAUCCCCUGAGCUGCAUCCGUGCCUGCUGCACACGCAGACCCCAGGCACAGGCACAGAAGCUGAGCUUUCUGGCCUGCGUCCGCACCGCCUGCACAGCUGCCCUCAAGGACAGAGAGGCUCACAAGCACCUGAGUGCCUGCGCAUCAGAGGUGGCGCAGUGCAUUGAGGUAAGGGGAGCACCGCAGGGCCGGGCGCUGGGCACAGCCCUUCCCACUGCGGGGUCCCUGGGGAGCCCGGGAGUUGGGAUGUGGGGCCAGGAUGGGGUGCCCGGGCUCUGCCCACCAAGCAGGGCACACCGCACCAUCCCAUCC
ensembl:lncRNA